UGGGGAAUAUUGGGCAAUGGGCGAAAGCCUGACCCAGCAACGCCGCGUGAAGGAAGAAGGUUUUCGGAUUGUAAACUUCUGUCCUCAGGGAAGAAGGAAGUGACGGUACCUGAGGAGGAAGCCCCGGCUAACUACGUGCCAGCAGCCGCGGUAAUACGUAGGGGGCGAGCGUUGUCCGGAAUUACUGGGCGUAAAGCGCACGCAGGCGGAUGCGCGCGUCGGCUGUGAAAUGCACCGGCUCAACCGGUGCACUGCGGUCGAUACGGCGCAUCUGGAGUGCGGGAGAGGGAAGCGGAAUUCCCGGUGUAGCGGUGAAAUGCGUAGAUAUCGGGAGGAACGCCGGUGGCGAAGGCGGCUUCCUGGCCCGCAACUGACGCUCAUGUGCGAAAGCCAGGGGAGCGAACCGG
rnacentral:rRNA from 1 species